rnacentral:rRNA from 1 species
UACGUAGGGGGCAAGCGUUGUCCGGAUUUAUUGGGCGUAAAGAGCGUGUAGGCGGCCAAACAGGUCAGCUGUGAAAACUCGAGGCUCAACCUCGAGACGUCGGUUGAAACCGUUUGGCUAGAGUCCGGAAGAGGAGAGUGGAAUUCCCGGUGUAGCGGUGAAGUGCGCAGAUAUCGGGAAGAACACCCGUGGCGAAGGCGGCUCUCUGGGACGGUACUGACGCUGAGACGCGAAAGCGUGGGGAGCGAACAGG